rnacentral:rRNA from 1 species
GUAGGGAGCGAGCGUUGUUCGGAAUUACUGGGUGUAAAGGGAGCGUAGGCGGGAUGGUAAGUCAGAUGUGAAAACUAUGGGCUCAACCCAUAGACUGCAUUUGAAACUGCUGUUCUUGAGUGAAGUAGAGGUAAGCGGAAUUCCUAGUGUAGCGGUGAAAUGCGUAGAUAUUAGGAGGAACAUCGGUGGCGAAGGCGGCUUACUGGGCUUUUACUGACGCUGAGGCUCGAAAGCGUGGGGAGCAAACAGGAUUAGAUACCCUGGUAGUCCACGCUGUAAACGAUGAUUACUAGGUGUGGGGGGACUGACCCCUUCCGUGCCGCAGCUAACACAAUAAGUAAUCCACCUGGGGAGUACGGCCGCAAGGCUG